rnacentral:rRNA from 1 species
AUUGAACGCUGGCGGCAGGCCUAACACAUGCAAGUCGAACGGUAACAGAAAGCAGCUUGCUGCUUUGCUGACGAGUGGCGGACGGGUGAGUAAUGUCUGGGAAACUGCCCGAUGGAGGGGGAUAACUACUGGAAACGGUAGCUAAUACCGCAUAACGUCGCAAGACCAAAGAGGGGGACCUUCGGGCCUCUUGCCAUCGGAUGUGCCCAGAUGGGAUUAGCUAGUAGGUGGGGUAACGGCUCACCUAGGCGACGAUCCCUAGCUGGUCUGAGAGGAUGACCAGCCACACUGGAACUGAGACACGGUCCAGACUCCUACGGGAGGCAGCAGUGGGGAAUAUUGCACAAUGGGCGCAAGCCUGAUGCAGCCAUGCCGCGUGUAUGAAGAAGGCCUUCGGGUUGUAAAGUACUUUCAGCGGGGAGGAAGGGAGUAAAGUUAAUACCUUUGCUCA